rnacentral:tRNA from 1 species
CCAGAUCGCCGAGGGUGUUGCCGGAGCUCUGGAACGCCUCCAAACCUGCUGCAUCGGUGCCGAAUCCGACGACCUGGGC